rnacentral:lncRNA from 1 species
GACAGAUACCUAACUCAUAGAAAUGACCUGUAAUCAUGGCCUGGGUUAGGAACAAGGAUUUGGAGGAAGAAAGUGCCUUCAAAUCACCCUGCAAAUAGUGUUGUCUACUCAGCCACAGGAAGACAAGCCCUGGGGAUGCAUUCAGCAGGCAGCAGGUCCCGCGGGUUCUACAGCUUCAAAUUACUUGGAGCAAAUGAGGCUUUUCAGCUUUGCUUGCUCAAUGCCAAGCUCCACACUUUAGAAGGGGAUCCUUGUAUACCUGACUCACCACCCGAAGGAAAUGUCUUCAGAGAUGUUCACUGCCCCAGGUAGGGCCCAUGCUCCACGUAAGGCCAUCCGCUCCAGGUGUAAUCGUGCCAGGCUCCAUUGCCCAAUAUGUGGCAAGUCAAUACAUGGAGACACAAAGAAUUGUAGCAGAGAAAGAAGUUUAAUCAUCAGGGAUUCAAACAAGGAGGUA